AUUUAUAUAUUAUAUAAACAAAUUUAAUUAUAAAUAUUAUUUUGUUUUUUGUUGCACCCCCGUAAAAAUG
rnacentral:tRNA from 1 species